AGAGUUUGAUCCUGGCUCAGAAUGAACGCUGGCGGCGUGCCUAACACAUGCAAGUCGAGCGGAGAUAAGUUGAAGCCUAGCGAUUCUUAUCUUAGCGGCGGAUGGGUGAGUAACACGUGGGUAACCUGCCCUGUACUGGGGGAUAACAGCUGGAAACGGCUGUUAAUACCGCAUAUGCGCACGGAGCCGCAUGGCCCUGGGCGGAAAGAUUCAUCGGUACAGGAUGGGCCCGCGCCGGAUUAACUUGUUGGCGGGGUAACGGCCCACCAAGGUGAUGAUCCGUAGCCGACCUGAGAGGGUGACCGGCCACAUUGGGACUGAGACACGGCCCAAACUCCUACGGGAGGCAGCAGUGGGGGAUAUUGCACAAUGGGGGAAACCCUGAUGCAGCGACGCCGCGUGAAGGAAGAAGUAUUUCGGUAUGUAAACUUCUAUCAGCGGGGAAGAAGAUGACGGUACCCGCACAAGAAGCCCCGGCUAACUACGUGCCAGCCGCUGC
rnacentral:rRNA from 1 species